rnacentral:rRNA from 1 species
AUGGUUCUGAUUGACGCAUCUACACGAUGGUCACAUGUGUGCCUUCUAUCCACACGAAACCGUGCAUUUGCCAAGAUAAUGAGGCAAGUCAUUAAGUUGCAAGCCCAUUAUCCUGAAAGUCGAAUUAAGUCAAUUCAAAUGGACAAUGCUGCAGAAUUCUCCUCACGUGCUUUCAAUGAUUAUUGCAUGGCUUUGGGGAUUGAAGUUCGGCACUCUGUUCCAUAUGUCCAUACACAAAAUGGUUUGGCUGAAGCAUUGAUUAAGAGGAUCAAACUCAUUGCAAGACCUUUGUUGAUGAAUUGCAAUUUUCCAACCACUUGUGGGGCCAUGCUAUUUUACACGCUGCUGACUUGA